CGGCAACAGCUCAAAUUUGAAAUCUGGCUCCUUUGGGGCCCGAGUUGUAAUUUGUAGAGGAUGCUUCGGCGUCGGCGCCGCCCAAAGUUCCUUGGAACGGGACGUCAUAGAGGGUGAGAGCCCCGUCUGGUUGGAUACCGAUCCUCUGUAAAGCUCCUUCGAC
rnacentral:rRNA from 1 species